AUGAUAUGUUCACAGAUUCAAAAGGACCUUGCUACAUGUUGUGCUUUGGAGGUAACCAAAGUCAUCAAGAAUGAGCUUGGAGAUAAGAAUUUUGCGAUACUUGUUGAUGAGGCUAGAGAUUGCUCAAUAAAGGAGCAAAUGGCAAUAAUUUUGAGAUUUUUGGAUGAUAAUGGGGAGCUUCAGGAGAGAUUUCUUGCUAUUAAGCACAUCACAGAUUGCACAUCUGCCGGAAUUAAAGAAGCAUCGUUUCAUGUCUUAAAGUACCAUGGCUUGUCUAUUAAUAGGCUACAUGGACAGCGUUAUGAUGGGGCUUCAAAUAUGAGAGGAGAAUUCAAUGGUUUGCAAAAGCUAAUUCGUGAUGAGAGUCCAUAUGCUUUCUAUGUUCACUGUUUUGCCCAUCAGUUGCAACUAGUGGUUGUCACAGUGGCUCAAUGUUGUCCGGUUAUUGCUGAUUUUUUCAACUUUCUUCCCUUGAUAGUGACUCAGGUGGGUUCAUCCUGCAAAAGAAAAGAUGCAUUGCUUGCAAAGCAUCAAGAUGACUUGAUAGAGAUGAUGGAGAAUGGUAAGAUAUCAUCUGGAACUGGUUUACAUCAAGAAACUAACCUAGCUAGACCAGGAGCUACUCGUUGGGGCUCACAUCUUAGAACCUUGCUUCGUGUUUACACAAUGUGGAAUGCAGUGGUUGAUGUGCUUGCAAUUGUGAUUGAGGAUGCCCGGGAACACACUUCUCAAUGUGGAGCUUCAGGUUUGUUGGUACAGAUGGAAUGCUUCCAAUUUGUGUUCAUCAUGAUAUUCUUAAUAAACUUGUUGAACAUCACAAAUAUGCUAUCACAAGCUUUGCAAAGGAAGAAUCAAGAUGUUGUUGAAGCCAUGCAUUUGAUCUUGGAUGUGAAAGAAGCUUUGCAAACUAUGAGGGGCAAUGGGUAUGAGCCAUUAUGCGAGCAAGCAAAAAACUUUUGUGAGGAACAUGGCAUUGACGUGCCAAAUAUGGAUGAUCUUGUUGGAGCUAUGGGGCAAUCUGCUCGAAGCAAGAAUAAGGUGACUCGAGAUCAUUAUUUCAGGGUGAGCACAUUCAGUGUUGCGAUUGAUGCAACUCUCACUGAGAUGAACCACCGAUUCAAUGAAGUUAACACCGAGUUAGUGGAUUGCAUGUCUUGUCUUAAUCCAGCUAACAACUUCUCAAAGUUUAAUGAUGAGAAACUUAUUCGGCUUGCUGAAAUUUAUGUUGAAGAUUUUACACAAGCUGAAUGGUUGUUGCUAAGAUACGAGCUUCCAACAUUCCUUACAAAUAAUAGGAGAAGUGAGGAAUUUAAUGGAUGUCCGGAUAUUUCUACUCUUGCUCGUUUGAUGGUUCAAACAAUGAAACAUAGAACUUUCCAAUUGGUAUAUCGCCUUAUCGAGUUGACAUUGAUUCUUCCAGUGGCAACUUCGUCGGUCGAGCGAAUAUUUUCAGCAAUGAAGGUCAUCAAAACCAAUUUGCGCAAUAAGAUAUCAGAUGAUUGGCUCAAUGAUUUAAUGGUAUGCUACUGUGAGAAAAGGAUAUUCAAAAGUAUUCCAGAUGAUCAAAUUAUGAUACGAUUUCAGAAAAAGAAAAAUCGCAAAGGACAUUUGCCUCCUGAGUAUGAUGUUAUUUCUUAG
rnacentral:rRNA from 1 species